CGUGGGUAAUCUGCCUUCGGGUUUGGGACAACUCCGGGAAACUGGAGCUAAUACCGAAUAAGACCACGAGGUCCUCGGGCCUUGCGGAAAAAGGUGGCCUCUUCUUGAAAGCUAUCGCCUGUAGAUGAGCCCGCGUCCCAUUAGCUUGUUGGUGAGGUAACGGCUCACCAAGGCAUCGAUGGGUAGCUGGUCUGAGAGGAUGAUCAGCCACACUGGAACUGAGACACGGUCCAG
rnacentral:rRNA from 1 species